GCGUACGACCAUAUCACCCUGAAUUUGCCCGAUCUCGUCUGAUCUCGGAAGCUAAGCAUGGUCGAGCCUGAUUAGUACUUGGAUGGGAGACUGCAUGGGAAUACCAGGUGUUGUAGGCU
ensembl:rRNA 5S_rRNA 5S ribosomal RNA